rnacentral:rRNA from 1 species
CCUACGGGAGGCAGCAGUGGGGAAUUUUGGACAAUGGGGGCAACCCUGAUCCAGCAAUGCCGCGUGAGUGAAGAAGGCCUUCGGGUUGUAAAGCUCUUUUGUCAGGGAAGAAACGGUGCGGGCUAAUAUCCCGUGCUAAUGACGGUACCUGAAGAAUAAGCACCGGCUAACUACGUGCCAGCAGCCGCGGUAAUACGUAGGGUGCAAGCGUUAAUCGGAAUUACUGGGCGUAAAGCGUGCGCAGGCGGUUUUGUAAGACUGUCGUGAAAUCCCCGGGCUCAACCUGGGAAUGGCGAUGGUGACUGCAAGGCUAGAGUUUGGCAGAGGGGGGUAGAAUUCCACGUGUAGCAGUGAAAUGCGUAGAUAUGUGGAGGAACACCGAUGGCGAAGGCAGCCCCCUGGGUCAAAACUGACGCUCAUGCACGAAAGCGUGGGGAGCAAACAGGAUUAGAUACCCUGGUAGUCCACGCCCUAAACGAUGUCUACUAGUUGUACGGGUUUUAAUAACUUGGUAACGCAGACUACGUACGUGAGUAGACCGCCGUCGGGAGGUACGGUCGCGAGAUAACUACAANAGAGUAGUAGCGUGAGACGUGCGACGACGACGACGAGGGAGAGG